rnacentral:rRNA from 1 species
AUACGGAGGGUGCAAACGUUGUUCGGAAUUACUGGGCAUAAAGAGCUCGUAGGCGGCUGUGCAAGUGUGGAGUGAAAUCCCACGGCUUACCCGUGGAACUGCUUUGCAGACUGCACGGCUAGAGGAUGGUAGGGGAGAGCGGAACUCCUGGUGGAGCGGUGAAAUGCGUAGAUAUCAGGAGGAACACCGGUGGCGAAGGCGGCUCUCUGGUCCAUUUCUGACGCUGAGGAGCGAAAGCCAGGGUAGCGAACGGGAUUAGAAACCCCAGUAGUCC